CACGUAGGGUGCGAGCGUUGUCCGGAAUUAUUGGGCGUAAAGAGCUCGUAGGCGGUGUGUCGCGUCGGCCGUGAAAACCUGCAGCUUAACUGUGGGCUUGCGGUCGAUACGGGCAUCACUGGAGUUCGGCAGGGGAGACUGGAAUUCCUGGUGUAGCGGUGAAAUGCGCAGAUAUCAGGAGGGAACACCCGGUGGGCGAAGGCGGGUC
rnacentral:rRNA from 1 species